rnacentral:rRNA from 1 species
CAAUAGCGUAUAUUAAAGUUGUUGCAGUUAAAAAGCUCGUAGUUGGAUUUCUGCUGAGGACGAUCGGUCCGCCCACUGGGUGAGUAUCUGGCUCGGCCUUGGCAUCUUCUUGGAGAACGUUGCUGCACUUGACUGUGUGGCGCGGUAUCCAGGACUUUUACUUUGAGGAAAUUAGAGUGUUUCAAGCAGGCGCACGCCUUGAAUACAUUAGCAUGGAAUAAUGAGAUAGGACCUUGGUUCUAUUUUGUUGGUUUCUAGAGCUGAGGUAAUGAUUAAUAGGGAUAGUUGGGGGCAUUCGUAUUUAACUGUCAGAGGUGAAAUUCUUGGAUUUGUUAAAGACGGACUGCUGCGAAAGCAUUUGCCAAGGAUGUUUUCAUUGA